GGGGGUAUCGCAUAGCGGCAAUUGCGGGUGACUGUAACUCACCUCCUUCGGGUUCAUAGGUUCGAGUCCUGUUACCCCACA
rnacentral:tRNA from 1 species